CCUACGGGUGGCAGCAGUGGGGAAUAUUGGGCAAUGGGCGCAAGCCUGACCCAGCAACGCCGCGUGAAGGAAGACUGCUUUCUGGUUUUAAACCUCUUUUAUUGAGGACGUAACAAAUGCCGGUUCUGGAUGAAUAAACUACGGCCAACUACGUGCCAGCAGCCGCUGUAAUACGGAGGUGGCAAGCGUUAUCCGGAUUUACUGGGUGUAACGGUCGGGUAGUCGGGACUUCAACUCCGAUGUGAAAUCCAGGGGCUCAACCAUUAGCGUGCAUUUGAAACUGUAGUUCUUGAGUGACGGAGAGGCAGGCGGAAUUCCGGGUGUAGCGGUGAAAUGCGUAGAGAUAAGGAAGAACACCAGUGGCGAAGGCGGCCUGCUGGACAUUAACUGACGCUGAGGCGCGAAAGCGUGGGGAGCAAACAGGAUUAGAUACCCGGGUAGUC
rnacentral:rRNA from 1 species